rnacentral:rRNA from 1 species
CCUACGGGAGGCAGCAGUGAGGACUAUUGGUCAAUGGACGAGAGUCUGAACCAGCCAAGUAGCGUGAAGGAUGACUGCCCUAUGGGUUGUAAACUUCUUUUAUAUGGGAAUAAAAUGUUCCACGUGUGGGUUUUUGUAUGUACCAUAUGAAUAAGGAUCGGCUAACUCCGUGCCAGCAGCCGCGGUAAUACGGAGGAUCCGAGCGUUAUCCGGAUUUAUUGGGUUUAAAGGGAGCGUAGGUGGAUUGGUAAGUCAGUUGUGAAAGUUUGCGGCUCAACCGUAAAAUUGCAGUUGAAACUGGCAGUCUUGAGUACAGUAGAGGUGGGCGGAAUUCGUGGUGUAGCGGUGAAAUGCUUAGAUAUCACGAAGAACUCCGAUUGCGAAGGCAGCUCACUGGACUGCAACUGACACGGAGGCUCGAAAGUGUGGGUAUCAAACAGGAUUAGAUACCCUGGUAGUC